UACGUAGGGUGCGAGCGUUGUCCGGAAUUACUGGGCGUAAAGAGCUCGUAGGUGGUUUGUCGCGUUGUCCGUGAAAACUCACAACUCAAUUGUGGGCGUGCGGGCGAUACGGGCAGACUGGAGUACUGCAGGGGAGACUGGAAUUCCUGGUGUAGCGGUGGAAUGCGCAGAUAUCAGGAGGAACACCGGUGGCGAAGGCGGGUCUCUGGGCCUUACCUGACGCUGAGGAGCGAAAGCGUGGGUAGCGAACAGG
rnacentral:rRNA from 1 species